AUUGAACGCUGGCGGCAUGCCUUACACAUGCAAGUCGAACGGCAGCACGGGUGCUUGCACCUGGUGGCGAGUGGCGAACGGGUGAGUAAUAUAUCGGAACGUACCUUAUUGUGGGGGAUAACGCAGCGAAAGCUGUGCUAAUACCGCAUAAUCCCUAAGGGGGAAAGCGGGGGACCGUAAGGCCUCGCGCAAUUAGAGCGGCCGAUACCUGAUUAGCUAGUUGGUGAGGUAAAGGCUCACCAAGGCAACGAUCAGUAGCUGGUCUGAGAGGACGAUCAGCCACACGGGGACUGAGACACGGCCCAGACUCCUACGGGAGGCAGCAGUGGGGAAUUUUGGACAAUGGGGGCGACCCUGAUCCAGCAAUGCCGCGUGAGUGAAGAAGGCCUUCGGGUUGUAAAGCUCUUUUGUCAGGGAAGAAACAGCAGCUCUAACACAGUUUGCGAAUGACGGUACCUGAAGAAUAAGCACCGGCUAACUACGUGCCAGCCGCCGCUGUAA
rnacentral:rRNA from 1 species